GUGCUUUUAAUUUUGAAAAGGAUGCGAGAAGGAGAUCAUCCUGGGAAGAAAAAGUAGCGCAUUGAAUCGAAUUUUUUAUGGUCUCUCGAUGACAUUUUAAACGAUGACCACUAUAACCACAAGUCAUAUACUAGAUGCAGAUGCAUGCAAUUAUGGAAGGGGAUCUUUUGUGGAAGACAAAAGUAGUAGCUAAGUAUCAAAAUCAUGGCUUUCAGCAAAUGGUCUUAUCAUGGCCUAUUGAGGAUACUUUGAAUAAUGAAGUCUAUAAACACCAGGUCUUUUUUAGUAAAUGUUUUUGUAUAGUUGCAUUAUGUAUUCAUUCCUGUUAUUUUUUUAUUUCAUGUGUUCAAAUUUCUUUAGUCGGAUAUGCUUUCCCUUGGCGAUGCUGUAAAAAUACUUGGAUAUGCUCAUAAUCCAUCAUUGACAAGAAGUAAAGUCUGUCAACUUAAUCUGUGUAUUUAGAGUUUUGAUGAGAUAAUUAGUGAGUUUUCGUAAGAGCUAAAUGUUCAAAUCACACACUAGCUAAACUAUUGAGAUUCAAGUGUUAUUUUUCAUCUAUGAUCUGAUUAUUAUUUGUUUCUAAAUUUGGGCAGACUACUCUUGAUUGCCGAUGAAACCUUGUCAAAUUCCUUUCAAAGGCCUUGGAAACUGUUGUUGAUUGGGUCCAGAUGCCUUAGAUGAAGGUUUUUUAUAUUCUCUUUACCUCUAAUUGCAUUAGAUUAUAAUAAUCUUUAUUAACAUGUCAAAGUGGUUAUCUGCAAUUAAUUUUUGUUUAGCCAAAACAUACAAAUUUUACUAAAGUGUCUAAGUUGGUUGUAAAAAUAAAUCUUUUAUAUUAUUUCUAGUUUUUCAGCUAAGUUUCGUAAAAUAAGUUGGCAUGCAGGUACCCUUCCACUAACAACAUCGGUGCUGGCUCUUUCGUCUGCCUGAUCAUUAAGAUGUUUUUUUUUUUAUUAAUGUUCAAUGUAGAGCUAAAGAUAUUGAAUUCUGUUAUAUAUUUCAUGUACAGCUAAAGAUUGAGACCAACGAUGAAUGAAAUCAUCACAUCGAAGAUGAAAGCUCAGGUAGAAUACAUAAAUUCUUCUAGGCCUGGCGUGGGCCAUGCUUCCCGAACUGCUGCAACAUAUCUUCAAUACACUCACAGUAUGACUCACUUCAAUUUUGUUAUAAAAUUUUUUUGAGCCUUUUCACCAGCUAACGCAGAUGUCACAAGAGAUGUCUCAAUCUUUGAUCUAUUUGAUUCGGUGACUGAUUUAUGCUUUUCAAAUACAAAUCAAAGAAACGGGCUGAAACCGGAUGCUGUUGCUAAUGCCUCUAGACCAAAUGCUUAGCUCAUGAUCUCAACUCUCGUUGAUUUCUUCCAUCAUGUUAUCAUUGCUAAAAAUAUUAUGGUUUCAUUUCUGUAUGAUAUCCAGAGGGAGAUGAAAAACGGUGCAACGAAGGAUAGCUCAAUGUUGUUUAGCAAAGGAAGAGGUUAGAGAGUUGUGUAGGUUUAAGCUUGGUGCCAAUGGUCAUGUGGAGGUCAUGUGCAGGUGCACUAGCUACUGCUAUGGUGACGUUGUUGGCACAAUUAGGGUGUUCACUAGCGGUGAUCUUGAAUUCAAUUGUGAUUUGUUCCCCUGGUUGUCAAGAAGGUCAUCCGUUUUUUGUUCAUUCCCUGUACACAUUUGCAUGUUAAGUUGCUUGUGUAUUUUGAGUCCACUUUUUGGCAAAGAAUAGUUGAUUAUCAUCACAUUGACCUGUGAUUUUACAACAUUCCAGAUUGAUAGCUUCAAACAUCGAGUAUAUGGUGAUCAUACUUUCUUGUGUUUUCUUUUUUGAAAAUUAUAAAAUGUUUUUUUCUUUGCU